GGUCUUUGAAUGACAGGGACGAAAAUAUAUCUCAAAAAUCUCCCUCAGUAGCAGCCCUGUAUGGUUGGAAGAAAGAAAGUGAAAAAUCCAUUCCAAUUCAAUUCAUUGUUGCAGCAUAUUAACAUACACAUCCAUACUGAAUCAUUUUUGGUGUGUUUGUUGGCAUCUUUUUCAGUAAAAAAUCUUAAAAAUAAUUUCAUUUCUCCAACACGAAAAACUAUUGGCACUUGUCAUUUCCCUUCUUUAGAGUACUUGGCGUUUAUGAAAACUUCUCUUCAGUGGCAAUUAAGUUAUGUAAAAUUCAUUUUCAACUUCUUGUUCUUCUCAUCCUAAUGUUCAGUCUCAACUUCCAAGUAAUCCUAAAUCUUCUCAUGUUUUUGAAGUGCAACUAAUAUGUUAUAUUUAGUGGCAAUCAAGAUAUGUAAAAUUCAUUUUCAACUUCUUGUUCUUCUCAUCCUAAUGUUCAGUCUCAACUUCCAAGUAAUCUUAAAUCUUAUCAUGUUUUUGAAGUGCAACUAAUAGGUUAUAUUUUUGAGGUUUUUGUGUCUUAUGUUCCCCUAUUCCAGACCAAAGGAUUCUCUAGACAUUUGUUAAGAUCCUCCACCUUCUUCUCCAGUUGUAAUAGCUCUUGUCCAGUGUGUACAAGAAGUACAAUAUCGGGAACUAAAGGUUUAUUAGAAAAGGAAUAUAACAGAUUCUCCUCAACAAAAGCAAUCAUCAGAACUGAGUAUAGAAAUACUAAACAAAUUCAACGUAAUCCCUGGAUUUUGCAUCCUACUUUCAAAUUUGUUUCCUACCACAAAUGGACUUCUUCUCCUGCAGCAGUUAAUAGAAAUAUAUCUUCAUGUGAUUACGUCUCAAGAAAUAUACAUGAUGUUCUACUAAUUCCAGCGUACAAAAUAGUUUCUUAUGAUGGAUAACGACAUUGAAAAGAAUGAUACAAGAUAAGUCAACACCUUCUUAUUAGGAAAGCCAGUUAGUUUUAAAUGAGUAUUUACUAUAAAGGAAAAAUCUCAUAUUACAAUUCACAAAUAUAAGGAAAGAAUUGUAGAUAAGGGGUUUGCACAAACUUAUGAAAGUUGCCAACCCCAAAAGUUGUUCUGUACUCACAAAUUUGAAUUCAAUAACAAUUCAAUUUUUCCCGCGUGAAUAGUCUAGAUUGGCUUCUUAACAGUUUCAUGUUAUGGUGAUCAAGAAUUUUUGGAACUGUAUACGGAGUUACAAACUAAAGAACUCAUUGUACUCGCUAAAAGUGUCAUGUCCUACAACAUGCUAGCCUAUUGCAAUGUUCAACUAUGCAACUCCCCUUCAGCGUAUCUCCACAAUUGAAAUUAGCUCACCAUUUUCCCAUACAACAUGUUAAACGUAGAUCCUCUUUAAUUCACUAAUGUUUAAUAUAAUAAAAUCUAUCACUGUAAACUGCAUUACAAAAAAGCGAUAUCCAUUCAAUUUGAAUAUGAUUCAACUUAUAUUUAACCAAUAAAUGUGAUUACAUGUGUCGCAACUACUAAAAUUUCAUAUAUAUUUUCACAUUUCUGAGUUCACUAACGUAGUGUAGCUGAUAAUGAUGUUAUUGAAAUAAGAAGACUGAAGGGGACACAACCUACAGAGUUUCAUACUAAAAUGUAGGAAAUGUAGAUAUUUUUUUCUGGAAUUCAAAUGACGAGAUCCAGUAAAAAUAUGUGGAAAUUACAGUAUUCUGCAUUUGUUUAAAGAAACAUGUAUGUUGGGUUGCAAACAAGGACAUACGCCAAUUGAUCCUAAAUUAGAGAAAUAGCACAAACAAUAGCAAUAUUCGAUGUAAACCAUAUCCUAAUUUUUUCUACCUUAAACCCUACAUCUAAUAUUACUAACAGCGAAACUCUAAAAGUGGAAAAUUUGCCGGUUCUCAAAAUAUACUAUACCGAAGGAAACAAACUCCGGCCAUCUUAUCGCCACUUUCUGGCGGUGGAUGGAAAAAUGGCUAAGAAACAAGUGAGAGGUUAGAAGAUGAGUGGAGUUACCUUCGCCUUUCUUCGGUUCUUCUGGCAGUCGCAUUGGAGAAGACGGCCCUUGGAUGUUGUGCUCAGCUUCGGCUGAUUCAAAUGACAAUGGCGAUCACUUCGUCGUCGACGGUGAAGGUCGUCUAGGUGGUCCUCCACGGCAGGGAGUGAGGUCGGCGAUUCCAAAGAGAGGUUGGACGAUUUCGGUGAGAGACGCGUUUGGUCUGUUU
rnacentral:lncRNA from 1 species